ensembl:bidirectional_promoter_lncRNA Gm31510 predicted gene, 31510
AAAGAGAUAGCCCAGCCGUGGGGUUCUCAGCACUGGUGUGCCCAGGAAGAUGAACCUGUAGCUCAGGACGUAUGGGACACCCCAGAGUGUGGACGGAAAUAGACUCUUGGAACUGCAUUAAACCCCAGACCUUUCAAAGCACCCAUAACUGUGGGACAGUAGAGAGGAGGAGAGGCUCCAUUGCUCUUCGGUUUUCCCCCAGUUGUCAUGUUACCUCAAUAAAGUUUCUCCUCAAUAUUUA